rnacentral:rRNA from 1 species
UACGGAGGGGGCGAGCGUUAUUCGGAAUUAUUGGGCGUAAAGGGCGCGUAGGCGGCCCGGUAAGUCAAAGGUGAAAUCCCUCGGCUCAACUGAGGAACUGCCUUUGAAACUGCUGGGCUUGAGUCCGGGAGGGGGUAGCGGAAUUCCCGGUGUAGUGGUGAAAUGCGUAGAUAUCGGGAGGAACACCAGUGGCGAAGGCGGCUUCCUGGCCUGUUCUUGACGCUGAGGCGCGAAAGCUAGGGGAGCAAACGGG